rnacentral:tRNA from 1 species
CGGCGUGUAGCGCAGUUGAUAGCGCGCUUCGUUUGGGACGAAGAUGUCACCGGUUUGAAUCCGGUCACGCCGACCA